GCGUGCCUAAUACAUGCAAGUCGAACGCUUCUUUCCUCCCGAGUGCUUGCACUCAAUUGGAAAGAGGAGUGGCGGACGGGUGAGUAACACGUGGGUAACCUACCCAUCAGAGGGGGAUAACACUUGGAAACAGGUGCUAAUACCGCAUAACAGUUUAUGCCGCAUGGCAUAAGAGUGAAAGGCGCUUUCGGGUGUCGUUGAUGGAUGGACCCGCGGUGCAUUAGCUAGUUGGUGAGGUAACGGCUCACCAAGGCCACGAUGCAUAGCCGACCUGAGAGGGUGAUCGGCCACACUGGGACUGAGACACGGCCCAGACUCCUACGGGAGGCAGCAGUAGGGAAUCUUCGGCAAUGGACGAAAGUCUGACCGAGCAACGCCGCGUGAGUGAAGAAGGUUUUCGGAUCGUAAAACUCUGUUGUUAGAGAAGAACAAGGACGUUAGUAACUGAACGUCCCCUGACGGUAUCUAACCAGAAAGCCACGGCUAACUACGUGCCAGCAGCCGCGGUAAUACGUAGGUGGCAAGCGUUGUCCGGAUUUAUUGGGCGUAAAGCGAGCGCAGGCGGUUUCUUAAGUCUGAUGUGAAAGCCCCCGGCUCAACCGGGGAGGGUCAUUGGAAACUGGGAGACUUGAGUGCAGAAGAGGAGAGUGGAAUUCCAUGUGUAGUGGUGAAAUGCGUAGAUAUAUGGAGGAACACCAGUGGCGAAGGCGGCUCUCUGGUCUGUAACUGACGCUGAGGCUCGAAAGCGUGNGGAGCAAACAGGAUUAGAUACCCUGGUAGUCCACGCCGUAAACGAUGAGUGCUAAGUGUUGGAGGGUUUCCGCCCUUCAGUGCUGCAGCAAACGCAUUAAGCACUCCGCCUGGGGAGUACGAACGCAAGGUUGAAAC
rnacentral:rRNA from 1 species